rnacentral:rRNA from 1 species
AUUGAACGCUGGCGGCAUGCCUUACACAUGCAAGUCGAACGGUAACGGGCCUUCGGGUGCCGACGAGUGGCGAACGGGUGAGUAAUGUAUCGGAACGUACCUUUCAGUAGGGGAUAACGUAGCGAAAGUUACGCUAAUACCGCAUAUUCUGUGCGCAGGAAAGCAGGGGAUCGCAAGACCUUGCGCUGAUUGAGCGGCCGAUAUCAGAUUAGCUAGUUGGGGAGUGAAAGGCUAACCAAGGCGACGAUCUGUAGCGGGUCUGAGAGGAUGAUCCGCCACACUGGAACUGAGACACGGUCCAGACUCCUACGGGAGGCAGCAGUGGGGAAUUUUGGACAAUGGGGGCAACCCUGAUCCAGCCAUGCCGCGUGAGCGAAGAAGGCCUUCGGGUUGUAAAGCUCUUUCGGCCGGGAAGAAAUCGUAUCAGCUAAUACCUGGUGCGGAUGACGGUACCGGCAUAAGAAGCACCGGCUAACUACGUGCCAGCCGCCGCGGUAAGAC